CAGGGAGACAACAAAAUGUUUAAUAUUAUUAUUUUGUCACCUUAGGUCGAUCGGUAUCUCACAUUCUUAAUUUAUUAAGGAUUUCAUUUCCUAAGUUUUUCUAGGUCACACCCAUUUUUUUCCUGGGCCAUUAGCUCAGGUGGUUAGAGCGCACCCCUGAUAAGGGUGAGGUCCCUGGUUCAAGUCCAGGAUGGCCCAUAUCUCUAUGUUGGGGGUAUAGCUCAGUUGGUAGAGCGCCUGCUUUGCAAGCAGGAUGUCAGCGGUUCGAGUCCGCUUACCUCCACUGAUUACCACCUCUUCCAUAAUCCGGUAGAAAGGAAAUGUUUUGAGUUGUGAUCAAAUUCUGAAAGAAUCUAGCUUCCUAAUGAAAUCAUUAAGAUGCUGGACUCAUUGAAUUAAUUUCAUUGUUUUCAGAGAACCUUGACAACUGCAUAGAUUAUUUUUAAAGACAAUAAGCAUCUUUAAUGAUGCAGAUUUAUUAUUUGUGCGAAUGCAUUAAUAACAAUUCUAUUAAGCUGAUGCUUCAAAUUUUGAAGUUAUU
rnacentral:tRNA from 1 species